rnacentral:pre_miRNA from 1 species
CAUCUACUCCCUUCGUUUCGAAUUACUUGUCGCAGAUAUGGAUGUAUCUAGAUGUAUUUUAGUUCUAGAUACAUCCAUUUCUGCGACGAAUAAUUUGAAACGGAGGGAGUAGCAA